CCUACGGGUGACAGCAGUGGGGAAUAUUGCACAAUGGGGGAAACCCUGAUGCAGCGACGCCGCGUGAAGGAAGAAGUAUUUCGGUAUGUAAACUUCUAUCAGCAGGGAAGAAAAUGACGGUACCUGACUAAGAAGCCCCGGCUAACUACGUGCCAGCAGCCGCGGUAAUACGUAGGGGGCAAGCGUUAUCCGGAUUUACUGGGUGUAAAGGGAGCGUAGGCGGCGAUGCAAGUCAGAAGUGAAAGCCCGGGGCUCAACUCCGGGACUGCUUUUGAAACUGUACGGCUGGAGUGCAGGAGAGGUAAGUGGAAUUCCUAGUGUAGCGGUGAAAUGCGUAGAUAUUAGGAGGAACACCAGUGGCGAAGGCGGCUUACUGGACUGUAACUGACGUUGAGGCUCGAAAGCGUGGGGAGCAAACAGGAUUAGAUACCCCUGUAGUC
rnacentral:rRNA from 1 species